GACGGAGGGAGCUAGCGUUGUUCGGAAUUACUGGGCGUAAAGCGCACGUAGGCGGCUUUGCAAGUUAGAGGUGAAAGCCCGGGGCUCAACUCCGGAAUUGCCUUUAAAACUGCAUCGCUAGAGUUGUGGAGAGGUAAGUGGAAUUCCGAGUGUAGAGGUGAAAUUCGUAGAUAUUCGGAAGAACACCAGUGGCGAAGGCGACUUACUGGACACAUACUGACGCUGAGGUGCGAAAGCGUGGGGAGCAAACAGG
rnacentral:rRNA from 1 species